UAGGGAAUCUUCGGCAAUGGACGAAAGUCUGACCGAGCAACGCCGCGUGAGUGAAGAAGGGUUUCGGAUCGUAAAACUCUGUUGUUAGAGAAGAACAAGGACGUUAGUAACUGAACGUCCCCUGACGGUAUCUAACCAGAAAGCCACGGCUAACUACGUGCCAGCAGCCGCGGUAAUACGUAGGUGGCAAGCGUUGUCCGGAUUUAUCGGGCGUAAAGCGAGCGCAGGCGGUUUCUUAAGUCUGAUGUGAAAGCCCCCGGCUCAACCGGGGAGGGUCAUUGGAAACUGGGAGACUUGAGUGCAGAAGAGGAGAGUGGAAUUCCAUGUGUAGCGGUGAAAUGCGUAGAUAUAUGGAGGAACACCAGUGGCGAAGGCGGCUCUCUGGUCUGUAACUGACGCUGAGGCUCGAAAGCGUGGGGAGCAAACAGG
rnacentral:rRNA from 1 species